AUGAUCCCCUUCAAUUCCGCCGUCGCCGACGAGGUCCGCUCCCUCGUCCAGGGCGCCGACGGCUCUACCGUCGACUCCAUCUACCGCGAGCUCUGCCAGUUAGCUGACUGCAGUCCUGAUGGUUGCAUUUUACUGCUUCAAGUUUGUUUGGAUGAGGUGCUGCUGAAUGCCGGGGUGGCAAAAUACUCUCAAUCGAAACAAGAUCUUUUAUCCACCGUUUUCAGAUAUUGUCUGGAUAAACCAUACUUCAGCACCUGUUUUUGUGAAGCACUGAGGACUUUGUCUGUCAGUGAUGUUUUCCUUGAAACGUUGUCAAAUGAACUUGAUCUAUCCAGAGCUGAGAGGGUUGGUAUUGGACUUGCCCUGUCAGAUGCCGAGAAUAUAGGCUUGAAUCUGAAAGGCCAAAGAUUUUCAAUUGCUCAAAUCGAGGAGUUAUGUAAAAAUCCUGCACAGCCUAUAUCGAAUGACCAAAUUCAUGAUAUUGUUGUGUUUCUUCACCAGACUGAUGGCCUCUCAAAGCAUAUGGAUUCUUUUACUAACAUUAUUUCCCUAUUCAAAGUCAAAGAGAUGCCAUUCCAUGUCCCUGUCCUUGUUCAGGACAGCAAUGUUCGGCCAGCUUCAAGCCACAUGGAGAUGUACAUCGGUAGCUUUGAUGAUGAUUUUGAUUCCCUUUUAUCUGAAAUCGGGAAGGAGAUAAGCAUGGCUGACAUCAUUACUGAAUUGGGUUAUGGAUGUACUGCUGAUAUUGCACAUUGUAAAGAUACAUUAUCACUUUUUGAGCCUCUCGAUGAUUUGGGAAUAUCUAAGUUGCUUGGGGCUGUUGUUACUACUGCCGCUGGUCUUGGUGAGGCUCAUAACACAUAUUCAACAUUCAUUUCGGCUUUUGGCAACAGCCAAACAAAUGACUCAUUUCAGUCAACGGCAUGGGAUAUCAAUGUUCUCGUGGACUCAAUCAAUGAAAUUGCCCCACGAACAAAUUGGACAAGUGUAAUGGAAAACCUGGACCACGAGGGUUUCAGUAUCCCUGAUGAAGGGGCUUUCCGUCUAUUGAUGUCGAUAUAUUCUCGGGCUUGCAGGGAUCCAUUUCCGCUUCAUGCCAUCUGUGGGUCACUCUGGAAGAAUUUAGAAGGGCAAUUAUCAUUCUUGAAACAUGCAGUGGCUGCCCCAGCAGAUACAUUUACAUUUAAACAUUCUUCCAGGAAGCUGGUAUUUCCAGACUUGGCUAAUCAUAUCCAAGGCAAUCAGGCUUGGUACUGCCUAGACCUUUUGGAGGUGUUAUGCCAGCUUGCUGACCUUGGCUAUGCAACAUUAGUGCGACCGCUGCUGGACUACCCACUCAGUCAUUGUCCAGACGUCUUACUUCUUGGCGUUAGCCAAAUCAAUACUGCAUACAAUCUCCUCCAGUAUGAAGUAUUGUCAUGCGUAUUCCCUGCUUUAUUGAAGGACACUAAAAAUAGCAGUCUAAUGAACUAUCUCUGGCAUCUCAACCCUUCCCUUACUCUCCGAGGAUUUGUUGAUGCUCAUUCUGAUAUAAUUUGUCUUUUGAGAACUGUUGAUAUAUGUCAAGACCUAAAGAUCCUAUCCGCUGUCCUUGAUUCCACUCCCUUAGCAUUUAGCAUCAAACUUGCCACAGUUUCCUUUCGAAACGAUCAUAGCAAUCUAGAGAAAUGGAUUAUCGAGAAGUUCAGUGCACACAGAGAGGCUUUUAUUGAGGAAUGUGUUAAAUUCUUGAAAGAAAGUGUGGUCAACACAACUCAUGAUGCUGCAGAGGGUGUCAUCCAACAACCUCAAGCUACUAUCACGAAUAUUUGCUGGGAAUCAUGUCCUUUAUUUAUAAAGGUUCUUCAGUCUCACUCUGGACAACUGUUGACUAACCAACUGGUGGAUGAACUAAAUAGAGUGGAAGCAGCGUAUGAAUCAAGGACUCAAGGUUCUCUUGGAAGGGACAUUCCUACUUCCGAGGGAGGUUCUGAUGACAUUGAAGCACAGGCAAAUAUAUAUUUUCACCAGAUGUUUUCUGAACAGAUCAGCAUUGAUGCUAUGAUACAAAUGCUUGCACGCUUCAAAGAGUCUACAAACAAGAGGGAGCUAGCAAUUUUCAAUUGCAUGAUCUCAAACUUGUUCGAAGAGUACAAGUUCUUCCCAAAGUAUCCAGAUACACAGCUUAAGCUAGCUGCUGUUCUUAUGGGCUCUCUCAUUAAACAUCAACUUGUGGCUCACCUGGGACUUGGAGUUGCUCUACGUAGUGUUCUUGAUGCCCUGCGUAAAUCUAUUGAUUCAAAGAUGUUUAUGUUCGGCACGACAGCGCUCGAGCAGUUUAUGGAUCGUGUAAUAGAGUGGCCGCAAUACUGCAACCACAUAUUGCAGAUCUCACAUCUUCGUGGAACACAUGCCGAAUUAGUCUCUGCAAUUGAGCAGGCACUUGCCAAGAUAUCAUCAAGUCAAAACGAACCAAAUAUUGGCAACAUAUUUUCUGUGGAUCCGCAUGGUUCUGGUUCACCAUCUAUCGGAAACACAGAGGUUUCUGACGCAUCAUGGCAGUUCACCAAUCCGACUCCAGCACAGCUUGAACGGUCACCUUCUUCUUUUCCACUGCAACAGAGGUACCAGGGUUUUCUUGGGGAGAGGUCCAAAGGUUCUACAAACAGCGUCCAAGCUAAGAACAUUCUAUCUAUCAGUCAACCUACUGCUUCAACACCUGGUGAUUUGUCUAUGGCUCCGAAGGUUACCGCACCACCAUCCUUACAAGCUUCUCCUCAUCAUUCUGCCACUAUUUCAGCCUCUUCACAAUCCACUAAUUUUCUGAGGCCUAGAAGUUCAGCUCCUUCAGGCACUCGAUCUCCAUACACUACAGGAUUUGGAGCUGCUUUAAAUAUUGAAACUCUUGUUGCUGCCGCAGAACGAAGAGAUACGUCAGUUGAGGCCCCUCCAUCUGAAGUUCAAGACAAGAUAUUCUUCAUGAUCAACAAUAUUUCCAAUUCUAAUUUGGAUGCUAAGGCAAGGGAAUUUAAUGAGGUUUCUCAGGAUCAGUAUUAUCCUUGGUUUGCGCAAUACAUGGUCAUGAAAAGGGCAAGCAUCGAACCGAAUUUUCAUGACUUGUAUUUGAAGUUCUUCGACAAAGUUAACUCAAAAACGUUGAAUAAGGAAAUGGUGAAAGCUACAUAUGAGAACUGCAAGGCUUUGUUGCAAUCGGAUCUUAUCAAAUCAAGUUCCGAAGAGCGUUCGUUGCUAAAAAAUCUGGGUAGUUGGCUAGGAAAGCUCACCAUAGGAAGGAAUCAAACGUUACGAGCGAAGGAAAUUGAUCCCAAAAUUCUUAUAGUUGAGGCAUAUGAAAGGGGGCUGAUGAUCGCGGUCAUUCCAUUCACUUCAAAGAUUCUUGAACCUUGCCAUUCAAGUAUAGCAUAUCGUCCUCCAAAUCCAUGGACAAUGGGUAUUCUUAGCCUACUUGCUGAGAUCUAUAAUCUACCUAAUCUCAAGAUGAACCUGAAGUUUGACAUUGAGGUCUUGUUUAAGAACCUCAGUGUGGACAUGAAAGAUGUAAAACCAUCUUCUCUUCUUAAAGAUCGUACUCGUCAACUUGAAGGAAAUCCGGAUUUUUCUAAUAAAGAUGUCACUGCAUCUCAAACACCAGUCGUUGCAGAGGUUUCCUCUGGUAUGGUCCCAGCAAAAAAUGUUGUUGAAGUGCAACCAGAGUUAACUAGUACCUCACGGGCUACUAGCAUCCCAAAUAUGUUAAACCAGUAUGCACCACCUCUUCGUCUUCCUCCAAACAGCAUGGUUGAAGAUGAUAAGGUUGCUUUAAUAAUGCCCGAUCAGGUUUCACCAUCUCAAACGCCGUCUCCAUUACCGGCUUUGUUUACUCUUAGUCAGCUUAUGGCAGCAAUACCUCGCGCGGAUAUAUAUUUUAGAAUUAAUGAAAAGCUUAGUUCUCUUGGCUCACUGCAAUAUAGCAAAAUCAUGGAUGUUGCUUUGGAUAAGGCUAUUAAAGAAAUUAUAGGCCCCGUUAUUCAAAGAAGUGUUACAAUAGCUACCCGAACUACUAAGGAGCUUAUUCUUAAGGAUUUAGCAAUGGAAUCUGAUGAUAGUGCGGUAUCUCGCGCUGCACAUUUGAUGGUUGGCACGCUAGCUGGGAGUCUAGCUCAUGUAACUUCCAAGGAGCCUCUUCGUGUUGCUUUGUCGUCUCAUCUUCGAAGUCUUAUUCAGAACCUGAACAAUAACAGUGAAACCACUGAGCAGAUUGUUCAUAUUCUGAUCAAUGAUAAUCUAGAUCUUGGAUGUGCGCUAAUAGAGACUGUUGCAACACGCAAGGCUGUUGAGAUGAUCGAUGGAGAAAUCAAGCAUCCUUUUUCACAGCUAAGGAGGCAAAAGGAGUUGCUUGGUUCUGGAUAUUAUGAUGCUUUUCCUUACACUCAAGGUCUUGCACGUGUCCCGGAUGCACUUCGUCCAAAGCCUACUGGCCAUUUGUGUGCUAGCCAACAACGAGUGUAUGAGGACUUCAUUACUGUAUGGCACAGCCAGAGUAGUCAAAAUGCUGGAGCUACCACUUCUGCUACAGCCGUGACUGCUGCACCAGGCAAUUCCAGUAUACCUCGACUUUAUAGCCCAAAUUUGGUACAACCAGCAGAUCUGGUUCCUGAAGAGUCAGAUCAUGGUACCACACAACUUUUAAGUGUUUCCACACAAAUUGGUACAAGUGACACUUUUGCCCAAGCUGGUGGAACUACUAACAUUGCAUCUGUUUUCCCCCCUAUGUCAUCUAAUGACAUUCCAAUGGGUGAAUCAACAGCUGGAACUAAAGAUCUUGGCUCUAUGGUGCCUCUUUCACCUACAACUGCUGUUGACCGUAUGGAAUCUGUUUUCGCUGAACCUUUGAGUACUGACAACGGAUUAGACAGAUACCAUCAAGUUGCACAGAAGCUUGAAGCCUUGAUUGCCAAUGAUGGUAAAGAUGUAGAAAUUCAGUCUGUUAUUGCAGAAGUUCCUGAUAUUUUACACAGAUGUGUUAAGCGGGAUGAAGCUGCAUUAUUGAUUGCACAAAAGGUUUUCAGAAGUUUGUAUGAAAAUGCAUCAAAGAGUACUUAUGUCACAUGGCUUCUGGCAACUUUAGCUGCAAUACGUGAUGUUUGCAAACUUAUCGCUAAAGAGAUAACAAGCUGGGUAAUUUAUUCUGAGGAAGAAAAUAAGUUUAACCUCGACAUAGUUACUGGACUAAUUCGUUCCGAGAUUCUUAAUCUUGGGGAUUAUGAUGUUCAUCUAGCAAAGAUCAUUGAUAGUGGAAGAAACAAGACUGCAACAGAGUUCGCUAUAUCACUUGUCCAGACAUUGAUUACCCAAGAACCCAGUGGCGUUUCUGAGCUUUGUAAUGUUGUUGAUGCAUUAUCGAAGCUUGCAAUCAGGCCUGGUUCACCUGAAUCAUUGCAGCAGUUGAUUGAGAUUGCAAAGAGUAAUUUCAAGAACGCUGCUAGCUUUGCCGCCAUGAAGGAUGAAAAGGUUUUAUCUGGCCGUCCUUCAUCAGUAUAUAAAGAAGAAAAUGAUUCUGCUUUUGCAGAUGCUGUUAGUUUUCAAGACCAGGUUGCAGUUUUAUUCUCGGACUGGUGUCACAUAUGUGAUCAUCCAACUAUGGGUGAUUCAGCAUAUAGUCAUUACAUUGUGCAGUUGCAACAACAUGGCUUGCUUAAGGGAGAUGAUUUGACUGACCGCUUCUUCCAUACUCUCACGGAACUUGCCAUCACACAUGCUGUUGUCUCUGAGCAAGUUAUUGCUCCUGGUGGGAUGUCUCAGCAGCCGGCCCAGCAACUCCAGAUUUCAUAUUUCUCAAUUGAUUCAUACUCGAAGCUUGUGACUUUAAUGUUCAAGUAUGGCGUGGAUUUAGGACCAAACAAAGGCAGCCUUCUUCUGAAGAUUCUCUCCAUAACCACUAGGAUCAUUCAGAAAGAUGCUGAAGAAAAGAAAGUUUCUUUCAAUCCUCGGCCAUAUUUUAGAUUAUUUAUAAAUUUGCUAAGUGAGCUUAGCACUGCUGACCUUCAUGAUGGUGCUAGUUUUCAGGUUUUGACUGCAUUUGCAAAUGCUUUUCAUGUGCUUCAACCCUUGAGAGUUCCUGCAUGGAGUUUUGCUUGGCUUGAAUUGGUAAGCCAUAGAAGCUUCAUGCCGAAGUUAUUGCUGUGCAAUUCACAAAAGGGCUGGCCAUUCUUCCAGAGGCUGCUUGGUGAUUUGUUCAAAUUUAUGGAACCAUAUCUAAGAAACGCUGAGCUGGGACAGCCCAUUCAGCUUUUAUACAAAGGAACUUUGAGAGUGCUGCUUGUUCUACUCCAUGACUUUCCUGAGUUCCUCUGCGACUACCACUUCAGUUUCUGUGAUGUGAUUCCCCCAAGCUGCAUUCAAAUGCGUAAUGUUAUUCUUAGUGCAUUUCCACGCAAUAUGAGACUUCCUGAUCCCUCUACUCCUAAUUUGAAGAUUGACCUGCUAGCUGAAAUUUCAGUAGCUCCAAGAAUCAUGUCUGAUGUGGAAGGUGCUUUGAAGGCAAAGCAAAUGAAGACCCAGGUUGACGAGUACCUCAAGAGACCAGAAGGUUCAUCCUUUUUAACUGAUUUAAAGCAGAAGUUAGUGCUGCCUCCAAAUGAAGCGAAUGUUGCUGGGACUCGUUAUAAUGUUCCCUUAAUUAAUUCACUGGUCGUCUAUGUUGGCAUCCAGGCUGUGCAACAGUUGCAGCAUAACAAGGCAAAUGCAUCAGCAUCAGCGCAGCAAAUGAACCAAAGUCCUCAGGUGGAUGUUUUUCAGAUUGAAACAGCCACUGAGGUCUACAGAAAUCUUAUAGUGAAUAUGGAUACCGAAGGCCGUUACCUCCUCCUGAACGCGAUUGCUAACCAGCUACGCUAUCCAAACAAUCAUACUCACUACUUCUCCUUCAUCAUUUUGUACUUGUUUGCUGAGGCAACACAGGAUAUCGUACAGGAGCAGAUAACUAGAGUUCUUUUAGAGCGCCUAAUAGUUAAUCGUCCUCAUCCCUGGGGAUUACUUAUUACUUUCAUUGAGCUCAUAAAGAAUCCACGCUAUAGCUUUUGGGCUCGAUCCUUUACACGCUGUGCACCGGAGAUUGAGAGGCUGUUUGAGUCUGUUGCAAGGUCUUGUGGAGGUAAAGCUGCGGAAGAGGGAGUUCUCGCUGAUGGUGGUCAUUAG
rnacentral:rRNA from 1 species